CCCCCUGGAGCUCGAGAGAGAUACCAGCCUGUCAUGUCCCUGUUGCUGUGACGACCCUGUCUUUAUAGAACAAGAAAGAGAAAUGGUAGUGAUUGGCAGACCUUGCUUGCCCCGUAUGUAACACAAAGGGCGACAAAACGAAGAGGAAGUGAGGCCCUUCUCCGAGGUCUGACGCUUCUUAACCCUACACUACCUUCCACCUGG
rnacentral:lncRNA from 1 species